UCAUGUCCUCUUUAAGAUCCCAUUCCAUCUGUCUAAGGUAUUCCUUGAGUUCUUUAUUUGACCAUUUUUCUGAUGCCUCUAGGUCCUCCUGUAUAUUCAGGCUGUCCUGCAUUGUUUGUACUCCUUUUCUUCCUUGCUUUUUCAUGCUGCUCAUGUUACUUCUUGUUCUGUUUGACUGCUGAGUUACUGUUUACUCUUUUAAAUUUAUUUGUUUUCAUGUGUCUCUGGAUCCCGAUCCUGCUGAAACAACUUGUCUGCUUUUCCUGUUCCUGCGGAGGUUAAUACCAACUGAGCCUCCAUAGGCAGUGGCCACAGGAUUCAGACGGUCUUUGGAGAGCCCUUCAGGACCCACCCGUUGCAUCGGUCACCUGGCAAAGGAAACGAACUGUCACCAUUCGCAUGGGAUAUCACCACGGCAGAGAACUGAUGUCACCAGAAUGCGGUGGAGGAGUUAACUUCAUUGAAACUGGCAGCGGCAGGUGUGUAACCCCCUAGCCCUCCCUCUCCACACAGCAGGGAAACCUCAAGGGACCCUCCCAGCUCUCCCGUGAGCACCAUAGUCAGACGGAGGGAACAGCGGUGUGGGACCUGCAGCACGGGACCCCUGGCUUCUGCUCCCACCAGUGCUGACAACUGAGGUCUCUUGCACCAGCUACCGGGGGCGUGGCUACCAGAGGGCAAGCAAAAUACGCUGAGAGUUCUCAGCCCCAAGCUUCACAACCUUAGGGUCUGAGGGACUGGCAAACAGGGAGAGUGUGCCCAGUGGGUCAAGAAAAUAGGGUUCCCGGGAGCAGUAGACCUGGUGUGUAGCCAGUAUUGUGGUGAGCGUCACCGAUGAGCGGGGCCUGGCUGGAGAAAAAAGUGUGGAAGUGACUAGACACAAGAAAGGGCCCUAGGCACUAAGGAUUGGAGACCUGCCCAGUUGGGGAGGAGUAGCUGCUGCACAGUGAUUGGUUCCUGCAUAUUGAGAGGAGAAACUUGGCCCGGUGGGCACAGCUCCACCUACUGGAAGAGAAGUUAAUUGAACUCUAAGACUGCACCUUUUAAAUUUUGUUUUGUUUUGUUUUGUUUAAUUUUUUAAUUUUUAUUUUUUAUUAUUUUUAUUUUUUUAUAUUUUUUAAAUUUUUUUCUUUUAUUUUCUAUUUUUUUCUUUUGUCUUUUCAUUUCUUUUCAAUUUCCUUAUUCCCCUUUCCUUGAAUUUCACCUGUUUACUCUCAUUCUCUUUAGUGACUUCUUCCCUUUCCAUCUAAUACCUUUCCUCCCAAGCAUC
rnacentral:lncRNA from 1 species